GUCUGGCCUGCCCAAUGAUUUAUAUUUAAUGGCCGCGGUACUUUGACCGUGCAAAGGUAGCAUAAUCAUUUGUCUUUUAAUUAAAGGCUUGUAUGAAUGGUCGGACGAGAAAUAAUCUUUCUUUAUUUAAAAAAAAUAAUUUAAUUUUUGAGUUAAAAAGCUCAAAUUUUUUUAUAGGACGAGAAGACCCUGUAGAACUUUAUAUUUUUGAUUAUAUAAAUAUUUUUUGUAUAUGAAUAAUUUAUAUUAUUAAAAAUAUUUUGUUGGGGUGACAUUUAAAUUUUAAUAACUUUUUAAUUUUUAAAUCAUUAAUUUAUGCAUAUUUGAUCCAUUUUUAUUGAUUAUUAGAUUAAGUUACCUCAGGGAUAACAGCGUAAUUUUAUUGGAGAGUUCCUAUUGAUAGUAAAGUUUGCGACCUCGAUGUUGGAUUAAAA
rnacentral:rRNA from 1 species